rnacentral:rRNA from 1 species
CGGCACGGUGAGUAACACGUAUCCAACCUGCCGUCUACCCUUGGCCAGCCUUCUGAAAGGAAGAUUAAUCCAGGAUGGCAUCAUGAGUUCACAUGUCCGCAUGAUUAAAGGUAUUUUCCGGUAGACGAUGGGGAUGCGUUCCAUUAGAUAGUAGGCGGGGUAACGGCCCACCUAGUCUUCGAUGGAUAGGGGUUCUGAGAGGAAGGUCCCCCACAUUGGAACUGAGACACGGUCCAA